AUUUGUGCUUGCACAAGAUGACGACCGGCGCACGGGUGCGCACCGCGUAUGGAACCUACCUUGUACAGGGGAAUAGCCCAGGGAAACUUGGAUUAAUGCCCCGUAGUACCGUGUCCCGGCAUCGGGAUACGGUUAAAGCCUUCGGGCGGUAUAAGAUGGCCAUGCGUCCCAUUAGCUUGUUGGUAAGGUAACGGCUUACCAAGGCUACGAUGGGUAGGGGCCCUGCAGAGGGGGAUCCCCCACACUGGUACUGUAGACACGGACCAGACUCCUACGGGAGGCAGCAGUGAGGAAUAUUGUGACAAUGGAGGAGUACUCUGAUCCAGCCAUGCCGCGUGCAGGAAGAAUGCCCUAUGGGUAGUAAACUGCUUUUAUACGGGAAGAAAAAAGAGUACGUGUACUCUACUGACGGUACCGUAAGAAUAAGGACCGGCUAACUCCGUGCCAGCAGCCGCGGUAAUAACGGACGGUCCGAGGCGUUAUCCGGGAAUUAUUGGGGUUUAAAGGGGUCCGUAGGCGGGCCGAUAAGUCAGGGGUGAAAGUUUGCAGCUCAACUGUAAAAUUGCCUUUGGAUAACUGUUGGUCCUGAAGUUAUAGUGAAGUUGCCGGGAAUAUGUAGUGUAGCGGUGAAAUGCAUAGAUAUUACAUAGAACACCGAUUGCGAAGGCAGGUGACUAACUAUAUACUGACGCUGAUGGACGAAAGCGUGGGGAGCGAACAGGAUUAGAUACCCUGGUAGUCCACGCCGUAAACGAUGGAUACUAGCUGUCCGAGGCCUUGAGUCUUGGGCGGCCAAGCGAAAGUGAUAAGUAUCCCACCUGGGGAGUACGUUCGCAAGAAUGAAACUCAAAGGAAUUGACGGGGGCCCGCACAAGCGGUGGAGCAUGUGGUUUAAUUCGAUGAUACGCGAGGAACCUUACCAGGGCUUAAAUGCAUAUUGACAGGUCUAGAGAUAGAUUUUCCUUCGGGCAAUUUGCAAGGUGCUGCAUGGUUGUCGUCAGCUCGUGCCGUGAGGUGUCAGGUUAAGUCCUAUAACGAGCGCAACCCCUACCGUUAGUUGCCAGCAUGUCAUGAUGGGGACUCUAACGGGACUGCCGGUGCAAACCGUGAGGAAGGUGGGGAUGACGUCAAAUCAUCACGGCCCUUACGUCCUGGGCCACACACGUGCUACAAUGGUAGGUACAGAGAGCAGCCACGUCGCAAGGCGGAGCGAAUCUAUAAAACCUAUCACAGUUCGGAUCGGGGUCUGCAACUCGACCCCGUGAAGCUGGAAUCGCUAGUAAUCGGAUAUCAGCCAUGAUCCGGUGAAUACGUUCCCGGGCCUUGUACACACCGCCCGUCAAGCCAUGGAAGCCGGGAGUGCCUGAAGUCCGUCACCGUAAGGAGCGGCCUAGGGCAAGAU
rnacentral:rRNA from 1 species